rnacentral:lncRNA from 1 species
UACUAAAAUGAAAGCAGAGAGUGCAAUAAGCAUAGCAAGUGAAAAUGGUGGUGAUCGUGGAGAAGCCACUGCCCUUAAAGCGAUUUCCCAGUCACCACAUCAAUGUGAUGAGAAAGCUUCCAAAGGUAAUCACCCAAUGUAAACUUAGUGUUUUCCAGAAGAAUCAAUAAUCUAGAGCUGUCUAUAUCUUCCAGUGAGUGAAGGAGAGAGUUCUUAUAGAACUCGUCCACUCCUGGUUUCUCCUGCUUUUCCGUAAACCACCCCACUACUGAAGCUAAUCAAACGGGGUUUGUUGAGCAACAGACUGGAGGAAGAUCAGAGCAGAAUCAUCAUUUCUUCCUCUGUUCUAACGGUCACAAGAAGGGAGCAGUCCCGUUAGUUGCAACGGUGACGUAUUGCUCUGUUCAUUUCCGGUUUGGGUUGCUCAACCGGUUUCCAGUUCGAGUUCGUUGAAACUGCUUAUUCCUAACAAUUAUUUCCCUUCGGCUCUGGAUGCCGCCUUUCCUUUUGUUGGGUUGACUGGUACCUCGUCUUCUUGGUUACUUGAUUCUCUACCUUCAAUCAUAUGUCGAGUAAUCGAUCUGCUUAUCAAAAUAUCUUCUUGUGAAAUCUUCUAUGGUGGAAGUUGCGAAUGGGACAGUUCGAACUCAAAACAUGACCUUGCCUUUUAUUCUUCAUAUUCCUGCUCUGGUUCCCAAUCUUGUUUCCGAUUGGGAAAUUAACUAACACUGGGUGUAUUGUCUCGUUUGGUCUGGCUGGGUUGGGCGGGUAGGAUCAAUUGAGCCGGCACCAACUGGGAAAGGGAACCAAGCAGGGGAGGAUGUUUAGCUUAAUUGGUUUGCAAGUUCCUGACGUGCCUAUUGGUGGAGUGAAUUCAAGUGGUUCCAGCAGGUUGAAUGUUUUUGAGUUCUAGUAGUAGUUUUUCAGUUUAAUUGUAAAAAACAAAGUUGUGGGAUAUGUGGCAUUUUAAAAUUGGUCAUCCUCAUUCUCCUCGUAUGAAUUAUAUGUUUCAGAAACAGCUAUUACCUACUCAUCUUAAUGUUUCAGAUUUUGAGAUUCAAGAUUGUAUUCCAUGUGUUGAAGCUAAACUUACUGCAUCUUCAUUUCCUA